UAAAAAUACUUUAAAUCUAACAUUCCUAUC
rnacentral:piRNA from 1 species